AGAUACCCUGGUAGUCCACGCCCUAAACGAUGUCAACUAGGUGUUGGGAAGGAGACUUCUUUAGUACCGCAGCUAACGCGUGAAGUUGACCGCCUGGGGGAGUACGGUCGCAAGAUUAAAACUCAAAGGAAUUGACGGGGACCCGCACAAGCGGUGGAUUAUGUGGAUUAAUUCGAUGCAACGCGAAAAACCUUACCUACCCUUGACAUGUCAGAAAGAUUGCAGAGAUGUGAUUGUGCCCGAAAGGGAAUCUGAACACAGGUGCUGCAUGGCUGUCGUCAGCUCGUGUCGUGAGAUGUUGGGUUAAGUCCCGCAACGAGCGCAACCCUUAUCAUUAAUUGCCAUCAUUUAGUUGGGCACUUUAAUGAGACUGCCGGUGAUAAACCGGAGGAAGGUGGGGAUGACGUCAAGUCCUCAUGGCCCUUAUGGGUAGGGCUUCACACGUAAUACAAUGGUCGGUACAGAGGGUUGCCAACCCGCGAGGGGGAGCUAAUCUCAGAAAGCCGAUCGUAGUCCGGAUCGGAGUCUGCAACUCGACUCCGUGAAGUCGGAAUCGCUAGUAAUCGCGGAUCAGCAUGUCGCGGUGAAUACGUUCCCGGGUCUUGUACACACCGCCCGUCACACCAUGGGAGUGGAAUCUGCCAGAAGUAGUUAGCCUAACCGCAAGGAGGGCGA
rnacentral:rRNA from 1 species